rnacentral:rRNA from 1 species
AGAUUGAACGCUGGCGGCGUGCUUAACACAUGCAAGUCGAGCGGUAACGCGGGAGCAAUCCUGGCGACGAGCGGCGAACGGGUGAGUAAUGCUUGGGAAUCUGCCCAUUAGUGGGGAACAACCAGCCGAAAGGUUGGCUAAUACCGCAUACGCCCUACGGGGGAAAGCGGGGGAUCGAAAGACCUCGCGCUAAUGGAUGAGCCCAAGUCGGAUUAGCUUGUUGGUAGGGUAACGGCCUACCAAGGCGACAAUCCGUAGCUGGUCUGAGAGGACGACCAGCCACACUGGGACUGAGACACGGCCCAGACUCCUACGGGAGGCAGCAGUGGGGAAUAUUGGACAAUGGGGGCAACCCUGAUCCAGCGACGCCGCGUGUGUGAAGAAGGCCUGCGGGUUGUAAAGCACUUUUAGUGGGGAUGAAAAGCUCAGGGUUAACACCUCUGGGUCUUGACCUAACCACAGAAAAAGCACCGGCUAACUCUGUGCCAGCAGCCGC